CAUGAUUCACCGCUGCCCAGAGAUGGCGGCGCUAGGUAGUGGGAGGAGCUGGGUGAGGAUGUCCCAAGGAAUCAGCAUUUCCGAGCUAGCACUGGAAGUCUGAUUUAAAAUGAACCCUUCCCAGACCUUCCUGGGCUGCCUGAGAUAAGACUGCUGCAGAUCCUUUUUCCAGAAGCUGGAGGAUCAUGAGACCCGGACUGAGGCUUGAGACCUGAAGCUGCCAUCAUCCUUCUUUGCAAUUCUAGCCCCUACAGGGAGAAUUUAGAAGUCAUUUUGGAUUUCAUGUUGGCUGAGAUGGUGAUACCAACCAUAAAACAGGGAUUCGUGGACAACCAGACUCUGAAGGAUUGGGGUUCCUUUGCAAGUCUUCCUUCAGUUCCUUCACAGGAACCAAAGAGGAUAUGUGCCGACCAUUAUGGUUGCUGGAGGACAACAGAGCCUAGCCAGUCACCUUGUAUUAUUGGAGAUUUCUUGAAGUGUAGCUUGGGGCAUGCGCCUGAGGGACAGAGGGGCCACCUGGCCUGCUCCUCACUCACUGGAGUUGAGCAUCCCUUCAUCACUUAUUUUCUGAAGCUCCCUACCAGCAUCAGCAAAUGCUCCUGCCUAGUUGGGGCUAGGGAACCCUGCUUCUGAGGGAAGAAUCCGUACAUUUGACUCGAGGUCAGUGAGGGUUCCCAGCUCCUUCUAUCAGAGCCACCUCUCAGCCACAGGAUGUUUGAGUAUUAGCCAUGCUUCUCCCAAAAUAAGUCUGCAAAUCUUGGGAAUGAAUGAGUCCAGCUCCCUUCUCACCCCUGGUCAUUCUUCUAGUCAUGUGGAGAUGGAAAGCCUACUGGACACCCCCACUCCCCCCACACUCUAAUUUGGUUUUGGGAAAAGAUUCAGGGUUGGCCCAUACCACGUCGGCUGAACCCUUUCUGGCUGUGCUCACCGUUCCUGUCCUGAAGUUCAGCUGUGCUCACCAUGUGUCUGAGCUCAUGAACUGCUUCCAUUCCACACAAGGGAAGCAGCCCUUGAGACAUUGGAAACUCAGUCUCUGUUUUGUAGAAGCCCUCAGGACCCACCCAGUAUAGGCCAGUGUAUGCUAGCUCUUCAGGCUGCCUGGAGCUCGGUGAUCUUGGGCUCCACCCAUUCUUGCCAGCAUUCAUUACUCUGGAGGUGGGGGCUCUGUAGAUAACCAAGGGACUGACAGGUAAGUGGUCAGAAUCAACUAGCCUUCUGGCUAUGCAGAUUCCUGGUGACUGCUUCUGUCAGGCCCCUGUGUGGUCGCAUGAAUCUUCCUCUGCUUCUGCCACUCAUCAUUUUCCUCCACAUAAGCCCUUACACAUUACUUUCCUGCCUAGAAGGCCCUCCAUAGCCUACACUCCCUUCUCAUAGCUAAAACUAAACUUCCUUGGAUCUUUCCCGAGGUUGCUGGAAAGUGCUCAGUGACCCCCAGGUUAAGGUCAGGUUCCUUUGGUGCUCUCAUGGCCAUGCUUGUAGUCACUUGUCCUAAGCUCAGUGAAUACUUACUGGACUCUUAGGGCUUCCUUUAUAAGUGUCCUGGGAAGAGCAUUGAUCUGUUUCUGCCCACAUUUUGUAUUUUCAGCACCAUGUGGAGGACUUGGCCUGUAAAAGACUCUAAUCUUCGUGGUCAGCUUCACAGACUUACUUUUAAAUGGCAAAGGGUGUUCUAGAUAGAGGGAUCAGCAUGGGUUCAGAGUCUUGGCUUUGAGAGUUUAAGUAGUAGACAGAAACCCUAGAUAGGCAGGGAUCACUAGUGAGGAAUGUGUUUGUUGCUAAAGAGUCAGAAUUUUGUCCUGAUAAUAGUUCGUUCGUUCUCUCUCUCUCUCUCUCUCUCUCUCUCUCUCUCUCUCUCUCUCUCCUCUCUCCUCUCUCUGUUUUUGGUUUUUCAAGACAGGAUUUCUCUGUGUUCUCCAGGCUGUCCUAGAUCUCUCCCUGUAGACCAGGCUGGCCUCAAACUCAGAGAUUCACCUGCCUUUGCCUCCAGAGUUGUUGAGUGCACCACCACCACCGCCCAGCUUCUCAAGUCAUCUCUUUAGGUUAAGAGCAGAGAAACUCAAGACUUAGUUUGUGAUUCUUCAUAAAAUCUUAGCAAUGAAACCAUUGCCCUAUUGCAGUUACUUUUAUUAUUUAGUUCCAAGAUCUUGAUUUUGUAUCUGCUCUGUCACUUAUGGACCUUGUUUUCUCAGCUGGACAUAACAGCUCUAACAUUUAAAAAAUAUUGAGGGGAUCCUGCUGCCUCCACUCAGAGUUGGAGAAGUGGAGCAUUAUAUCUGUUAAUCCACAGAUGCUAUGGAUACUGUUAGUAAGGUUCUGGCUAGACCAGGCUGGCCUUCCACUGAACACUCUGAACACCAAGGCCAUGUUCUGGCUAUAGGGCCUUAGUCUACACUACUAAGUCUACAGGGCUUGCAUUUACACUAGUGGUUCUCAAUUGGAUAUUUAAACAAUUUUCUUUAAUGUGAUGGAUGUUUUGCUUAUAUUUGUGUCUGUGUGUGCAAUGCCCAAAGAGACUAGAAGAGGGUGUGGGAUCCCCUGGAAAUGGUGUUACAGAGGGUUGUGAGCUGCCUGCCAUGUGGGUGCUGGGAAUAGAACCUGGGUUUUUUUGGAAGAGCAGCUGGGGCUCUUAACUGCUGAGCAAACUCUCUAGCUCUUUGGGGAUGAUUUUUUAAUGUCCCCACAGGUGACAUUUUGCAGUGUCUGGAGACAUUUGAUGCUGUCAUAACUGGUGGAGGAGGCAAGUGUACCUCUGUUAACUGGAAUACUGAGACAUAAAGUAUCUAACAACACACAGAACAGCCCCUCAACCCCAAAGAAUUAUCUUGUUCAAAGUAUUAAUUCUGAGCUUGAGAAACUUUAGUCUAGUUGAAGUGUAAACCAGGUCUUCAUGCCUCUGAUGUCCAGGCCCAGUCAUAUAAGAUAUAAGGCUAGCAAGUGUCUGAUAAGUUGAGAAAGGAAAAAUACAGAGUCAUCAGGCUCUAUGAAGCUGCAGGGUAACGCUAGCCUUAGUGUGUUUAAAUAUAAUGGAAGCCUUAGAGCUAAGGUGAUGAUGCAGGUGGAGUUGAGGAUUUGUUUUUUGUUUUGUUUUUUUUCGAGACAAGGUUUCUCUGUGUAGCUUUGGUGCCUGUCCUAGAUCUCACUCUGCCACCACCGCCUGGCUAGGAGUUGAGGAUUUUAGAUGUAGGAAAUCUGUGUGAAGAUGGGGUCCAUGGUGCAGCCACAGUAGAGAGGAGCAAGUUUUAACAGUCUGGCAGGUGAUGCAGCAGUCAACAGCUGAACCUGGAAAGGAAGACAUUCAGUAAAAUGAGUGCCUGCUGCUUGGGAAGCUGAAGUGGGAAGAUUACAAGUUCAAGAUCUGACUGGACUAUGAUGUCUCUUGAACUGACUGAGAGCUGUGGUGCCUACUGGUGUGCGUCUCCAUGGCAGGCAUGAGCUGCCCAUCUUUUGGUGCUUAAGGGACACAACAGAACCACCUCUCCAGCUGCUCUGCUCUGAUUCAUCAUGUGCAUCUAGAAGAAUCUUCUCCGUGUCCCCAUUGUGGAGGUUUCCAAAAGGAGGUGCUCCAGCUCCCCCUCCCCCAAUCUCCUAUUGUCUGGACCGUUGCCAUUGCUACAGUUCAUGGUUAACUUCAACUCGGGAGUGUUGAGAGUCACUGGUGUGGCCCAGGCUGCUCUUCCAUCGGAUAUUCUAGCCAGGAAUUCUGUCCCCGAGCAUCUUUUGUUCUUGUUUUUCAAGUUUUUGUUUGUUAUUGCUGGGCAGGGACAGCAGAGGCUCUGCUAAAUGAGAGACUACAGGAGAUGACUGGUGGAAGAACUGCCGUGGCUCCAGGGUGACCGUCACAGUUAGCUUCAGCUGUCAACUUGACACAAACCUAGAAUCAGCUGUGUUGCAGGAAUCUUCAAAGUUCUUAUUAAUAAAAUCAAACCUGAGGCAAGUUAUUGGGAUCCAUGCUGGUAGAUCAGAGA